AACGGCCGCGGUAUUUUGACCGUGCAAAGGUAGCGCAAUCAAUUGUCUUUUAAAUGAAGGCCCGUAUGAAUGGCAUAACGAGGGCUUAACUGUCUCCUUUUUCCAAUCAAUGAAAUUGAUCUUCCCGUGCAGAAGCGGGAAUUUUUACAUAAGACGAGAAGACCCUAUGGAGCUUAUAAACGCAAGAGCAGAUUAAUCACACCAAAUCUAGAAUAACUAAAUUUACUAAACCCAUUAAAUACUGCUCAAGUGUUUUCGGUUGGGGCGACCACGGAGUAAAAUUUAACCUCCACGCAGAAUGAAAAUAUACAUUUUUCAAUUUAAGGAAAACAAUCCUAAAACCCAGAAUCUCUGACUUUUAUUGAUCCGGCAAAGCCGAUUAACGAACCGAGUUACCCUAGGGAUAACAGCGCAAUCCUCUUUUAGAGUUCCUAUCGACAAAGGGGUUUACGACCUCGAUGUUGGACCAGGCCAUCCUAUU
rnacentral:rRNA from 1 species